rnacentral:rRNA from 1 species
ACAAUGGACGAAAGUCUGAUGGAGCAACGCCGCGUGAACGAUGAAGGCCUUCGGGUCGUAAAGUUCUGUUGUAAGGGAAGAACAAGUGCCGCAGGCAAUGGCGGCACCUUGACGGUACCUUGCGAGAAAGCCACGGCUAACUACGUGCCAGCAGCCGCGGUAAUACGUAGGUGGCAAGCGUUGUCCGGAAUUAUUGGGCGUAAAGCGCGCGCAGGCGGCCUCUUAAGUCUGAUGUGAAAGCCCCCGGCUCAACCGGGGAGGGCCAUUGGAAACUGGGAGGCUUGAGUAUAGGAGAGAAGAGUGGAAUUCCACGUGUAGCGGUGAAAUGCGUAGAGAUGUGGAGGAACACCAGUGGCGAAGGCGACUCUUUGGCCUAUAACUGACGCUGAGGCGCGAAAGCGUGGGGAGCAAACAGGAUUAGAUACCCUGGUAGUCCACGCCGUAAACGAUGAGUGCUAAGUGUUAGGGGGUUUCCGCCCCUUAGUGCUGCAGCUAACGCAUUAAGCACUCCGCCUGGGGAGUAC